rnacentral:rRNA from 1 species
UACGUAGGUGGCGAGCGUUAUCCGGAAUGAUUGGGCGUAAAGGGUGCGUAGGUGGCAGAUCAAGUCUGGAGUAAAAGGUAUGGGCUCAACCCGUACUGGCUCUGGAAACUGAUCAGCUAGAGAACAGAAGAGGACGGCGGAACUCCAUGUGUAGCGGUAAAAUGCGUAGAUAUAUGGAAGAACACCGGUGGCGAAGGCGGCCGUCUGGUCUGGAUUCUGACACUGAAGCACGAAAGCGUGGGGAGCAAAUAGGAUUAGAUACCCUAGUAGUCCACGCCGUAAACGAUGAGAACUAGGUGUUGGGGGAAUAACUCAGUGCCGCAGUUAACGCAAUAAGUUCUCCGCCUGGGGAGUAUGCACGCAAGUGUGAA